rnacentral:rRNA from 1 species
UACGGGGGGGGGCAAGCGUUGUUCGGAAUUACUGGGGCGUAAAGGCUCGUAGGCGGCCAACUAAGUCAGACGUGAAAUCCCCUCGGCUUAACCGGGGAACUGCGUUUAAUACUGGAUGGCUUGAAUCCGGGGAGAGGGAUGCGGAAUUCCAGGUGUAGCGGUGAAAUGCGUAGAUAUCUGGAGGAACAUCGGUGGCGAAGGCGGCAUCCUGGACCGGUAUUGACGCUGAGGCGCGAAAGCUAGGGGAGCAAACGGG